CAUUCGUUCUCCUACCUCACAUUAAUAACCUGAGCUGAACUGUAUUACACAUGGAGGAGCUGAACAUCCGUAUUUACAGAUUCCACUGACUUUUCUCAGCAGGAAGAAGAAACAGAUGAUUCACCACCCAUUGUUUAUGUGUCUCAGUGAAGCAUCUCAAUCCAGCCCAGAGUGUCUCUUUAAUAGGGGAUUUCCCUGGUUUCAUGGCCUGUCUGUCCAAGUCCAAGGGUCAGAGUUCAAAAGUAAUGGGUCUUCAUUAAAAGAGGUCUGAAACCAAGGUUCUCACAAAGAAGCAGGAGAAAACACCUCACCAAAUGAACACCAGAUGCACCUAUUUUCAUGGCAGAGGUGCUGUUCACAAUAGCUAAGUAGAAAAAGUCGAUAAUAGACUGAGUUUAACCUGGGGGAAGGGCUGAGAGAGACUUUAGCUUCAAAUAACUAGUGUUCUGGCACAACAGGCUGAGCUGUGCAGCAUCAAAGACCUGAAAGCAUCAUGUGUAUUUUGCACCUUGGCUAUACAUGAUUAACCCUGUUAAAGAUUUAUGAAGGGACUGAUUAUUUUGGACAGGGAUUCGAUGCAAGUGCAGUCUGUCACUGAACACUGCUCUCUAUACACCAGUCAAACUGAAGUUCCAUUUAAAGUGCGAGAGAUUUUACUUAAAGUGCUAGUCUAAUGUAAAUUACAUCAUAAAAUCCCAGGUUUUCUGUGUGUGAUA